AAUUCCUGUACUGCUUAUGGACAGAACUGUGGGGACGCAGAAGGAGAGCACGAGCCGGAAAUGGAAAAGCCGGUACAAGCGUAUAGCAGUCAUGCAGGCAAAACCGCAUGAAAAAUGUAAAGCGUUAUGUGGAUCGAACAUUAGUAGAGAAGCGUAUGAGCCAGCUGCCAAGAAAAGCCGCUAUUGUUUCAUAAGUACCCGUACCGUAAACCGACACAGGUGGAUGAGGAGAGAAUCCUAAGGCCGGCGGGAGAAGUGUUGUUAAGGAACUCGGCAAAAUGACUCUGUAACUUCGGGAGAAGGAGUGCCACAGAGAUGUGGCCGCAGAGAAAUGGCCCAAGCAACUGUUUAGCAAAAACACAGGUCUAUGCAAAACCGAAAGGUGAGGUAUAUGAGCUGACGCCUGCCCGGUGCUGGAAGGUUAAGAGGAGAGGUUAGAGCAAUCGAAGCUUUGAAUUUAAGCCCCAGUAAACGGCGGCCGUAACAAUAACGGUCCUAAGGUAGCGAAAUUCCUUGUCGGGUAAGUUCCGACCCGCACGAAAGGCGUAAUGAUUUGGGCACUGUCUCAACAACACACCCGGUGAAAUUGAAAUACCAGUGAAGAUGCUGGUUACCUGCGCCAGGACGGAAAGACCCCAUGGAGCUUUACUCCAGUUUGAUACUGGGAUUCGGUACUGUCUGUACAGGAUAGGUGGGAGGCUAGGAAAUGGUGACGCCAGUUGCCAUGGAGCCAACCUUGGGAUACCACCCUUACAGUACUGGGUUUCUAACCUGCAGCCGUAACCCGGCUGGGGGACAAUGUCUGACGGGGAGUUUGACUGGGGCGGUCGCCUCCGAAAGAGUAUCGGAGGCGCUCAAAGGUUCCCUCAGAACGGUUGGAAACCGUUCGAAGAGUGCAAAGGCAGAAGGGAGCUUGACUGCGACACCGACGGGUGGAGCAGAUACGAAAGUAGGACUUAGUGAUCCGGUGGUAUAAAGUGGGAUUGCCAUCGCUCAACGGAUAAAAGCUACCCUGGGAUAACAGGCUUAUCACUCCCAAGAGUUCACAUCGACGGAGUGGUUUGGCACCUCGAUGUCGGCUCAUCGCAUCCUGGAGCUGUAGCAGGUUCCAAGGGUUGGGCUGUUCGCCCAUUAAAGCGGUACGCGAGCUGGGUUCAGAACGUCGUGAGACAGUUCGGUCCCUAUCCGGCGUGGGCGUAGGAUAUUUGAGAGGAGCUGUCCUUAGUACGAGAGGACCGGGAUGGACAAACCUCUGGUGUAUCUGUUGUUUUACCAAAGGCAUGGCAGAGUAGCCAAGUCUGGCAGGGAUAAACGCUGAAGGCAUCUAAGCGUGAAGCCCCCCUCAAGAUAAGAUAUCCCAUCUUCGGAGUAAGACCCCUUGAAGACUACAAGGUUGAUAGGCUUCAGGUGUAAGUGUGGUAACGCACUCAGCUGAGAAGUACUAAUAGGUCGAGGACUUACCAA
rnacentral:rRNA from 1 species